rnacentral:rRNA from 1 species
CGGGGGGGCGAAGCGUUGUUCGGAAUUACUGGGCGUAAAGGGUGCGUAGGCGGCUUUCUAAGUCGGAUGUGAAAACUCUGGGCUCAACCCAGAGCCUGCAUCUGAAACUGGAGAGCUAGGGUUCUGGAGGGGAAAGCGGAAUUCCUGGUGUAGCGGUGAAAUGCGUAGAUAUCAGGAGGAACACCGGUGGCGAAGGCGGCUUUCUGGACAGAUACCGACGCUGAGGCACGAAAGCUAGGGGAGCAAACAGGAUUAGAUACCCUGGUAGUCCUAGCCCUAAACGAUGGAUACUUGCUGUGGGGGGAUUGAAGCCCCUUGUGGCGAAGCUAACGCAUUAAGUAUCCCGCCUGGGGAGUACGGUCGCAAGGCUG